rnacentral:rRNA from 1 species
GAUGAACGCUGGCGGCGUGCUUAAUACAUGCAAGUCGAACGGAGUAUGUAGCAAUACGUACUUAGUGGCGAACGGGUGAGUAACGCGUUGGUGACCUGCCUCGAAGAGAGGGAUAACAGUCCGAAAGGACUGCUAAUACCUCAUGUGAUCAUAGGGUUUAGAAGCCUGUGAUUAAAGGAGUAAUUCACUUCGAGAGGGACCUGCGUACCAUCAGCUAGUUGGUGAGGUAACGGCCCACCAAGGCGAUGACGGUUAGGGGACCUGAGAGGGUGGCCCCCCACAAUGGAACUGAAACACGGUCCAUACACCUACGGGAGGCU